CUAGGGUAACAGAAUAGUUGCUUCAUUUCCAGAAUCUGUACACUGAAUUAACUUGAACACAAACUUUGCUGUCUUAAAUGUCACAAAGAAAGCUCUACUCACUUACCAGAUGAUAUCUCUCUCUGACCUGUGGCCCCUUUUUUGACCGAGAACUGAGAACUGCGUAACCCAACCAGGGUACCAGACUUCCACAGGAACUCCCUCCAGCAGACAGUAAACCAGGCAUUUUCUGCCAAUGAGGUUUAUCAGUUUAAAAUUUUGGUAAAGAGAAAUGUCAUUAACUGUCUUUUUCAAGUCAGUCAGCUCCACUGUCUGUUUCGAGUAAUCAAGGGGGCACUCUAUUUCAUGGGCUACUGAGGGUCCCGCUGCAGCAGCCAUUUCCCUGCUGUUCUCUGGGUCGCGGACAGCCUCUGAAAAAGUGUCCCUCCUGUCCACAAUGGAAGCAAUGUUCGCACUGUUCACCAACUCGAGCUUCGUGACAGGCUCUGCAUCCUCGCAGUCUGUUGCCAUUUACAGGUGUUACUCAGUCUGUUCUACCUCGAAGCUUAGCUGUCUCCAUUGUCUCAUUCACCAUCUUUUUCAUUUCUAGGACUUCUGCUCUGAGCUUUUGUUGUCGCUCUUGUUCUAGGUUUGCAGCUUCAUUCAUUCGCUCUAUCAACUCUUCAUCUUUGAUUCUAGGGUUGCUCAGGUCGGAUGAUGGAUCAACUUUGAAAUGCACCCUCAGAAUUGUCUUCGAGGUUGGAAGAGUGAGAACUCGUUUUAUUUCGAGCAUGUCUCUUAAAUGGAGGCCUGGGCUCACUGCUUCAAUGAUUUCUAUCUCUGAAUGACCCUUCCGGAGGCUGGACUCAAUCUGGUUCAUGAGGCUGGUGUAGGACAGUUUUUCUCGCUGUCCUGCUUCACCAAUUUGUCCACAGAUCCGAAACUCUCUCCUUAGAGUCACCUCAGGCAGGUGCACAGUAAUUAACAUGAUAAUUAACAGAUGGCUGACUUUUCCAUUUGUUGACAUGACAGGGUUAGAUUCAG
ensembl:lncRNA